rnacentral:rRNA from 1 species
AACGAACGCUGGCGGCAUGCCUAACACAUGCAAGUCGAACGAGACCUUCGGGUCUAGUGGCGCACGGGUGCGUAACGCGUGGGAACCUGCCCUUAGGUUCGGAAUAACUCCCCGAAAGGGGUGCUAAUACCGGAUAAUGUCUUCGGACCAAAGAUUUAUCGCCUUUGGAUGGGCCCGCGUUGGAUUAGCUAGUUGGUAGGGUAAAAGCCUACCAAGGCGACGAUCCAUAGCUGGUCUGAGAGGAUGAUCAGCCACACUGGGACUGAGACACGGCCCAGACUGCUACGGGAGGCAGCAGUGGGGAAUAUUGGACAAUGGGCGAAAGCCUGAUCCAGCAAUGCCGCGUGAGUGAUGAAGGCCUUAGGGUUGUAAAGCUCUUUUACACGGGAUGAUAAUGACAGUACCGGGAGAAUAAGCUCCGGCUAACUCCGUG